AGAGUUUGAUCAUGGCUCAGGACGAACGCUGGCGGCGUGCUUAACACAUGCAAGUCGAACGAUGAAGCCCUUCGGGGUGGAUUAGUGGCGAACGGGUGAGUAACACGUGGGCAAUCUGCCCUGCACUCUGGGACAAGCCCUGGAAACGGGGUCUAAUACCGGAUACGACCUGCCGAGGCAUCUCGGCGGGUGGAAAGCUCCGGCGGUGCAGGAUGAGCCCGCGGCCUAUCAGCUUGUUGGUGAGGUAGUGGCUCACCAAGGCGACGACGGGUAGCCGGCCUGAGAGGGCGACCGGCCACACUGGGACUGAGACACGGCCCAGACUCCUACGGGAGGCAGCAGUGGGGAAUAUUGCACAAUGGGCGAAAGCCUGAUGCAGCGACGCCGCGUGAGGGAUGACGGCCUUCGGGUUGUAAACCUCUUUCAGCAGGGAAGAAGCGAGAGUGACGGUACCUGCAGAAGAAGCGCCGGCUAACUACGUGCCAGCAGCCGCGGUAAUAC
rnacentral:rRNA from 1 species